rnacentral:misc_RNA from 1 species
GAAAUGCGAUAAGUAAUGUUAAUUGCAGAAUUCAGUGAAUCAUCGAAUCUUUGAACGCACAUUGCGCCCGCCAGUAUUCUGGCGGGCAUGCCUGUUCGAGCGUCAUUACAACCCUCAGGCCCCCGGGCCUGGCGUUGGGGAUCGGCGGAAGCCCCCUGCGGGCACAACGCCGUCCCCCAAAUACAGUGGCGGUCCCGCCGCAGCUUCCAUUGCGUAGUAGCUAACACCUCGCAACUGGAGAGCGGCGCGGCCACGCCGUAAAACACCCAACUUCUGAAUGUUGACCUCGAAUCAGGUAGGAAUACCCGCUGAACUUAAGC